AACGAACGCUGGCGGCAUGCCUAACACAUGCAAGUCGAACGAGACCUUCGGGUCUAGUGGCGCACGGGUGCGUAACGCGUGGGAACCUGCCCUUAGGUUCGGAAUAACUCCCCGAAAGGGGUGCUAAUACCGGAUAAUGUCUUCGGACCAAAGAUUUAUCGCCUUUGGAUGGGCCCGCGUUGGAUUAGCUAGUUGGUAGGGUAAAAGCCUACCAAGGCGACGAUCCAUAGCUGGUCUGAGAGGAUGAUCAGCCACACUGAGACUGAGACACGGCCCAGACUCCUACGGGAGGCAGCAGUGGGGAAUAUUGGACAAUGGGCGAAAGCCUGAUCCAGCAAUGCCGCGUGAGUGAUGAAGGCCUUAGGGUUGUAAAGCUCUUUUACCCGGGAUGAUAAUGACAGUACCGGGAGAAUAAGCCCCGGCUAACUCCGUG
rnacentral:rRNA from 1 species